ACGCUAGCUACAGGCUUAACACAUGCAAGUCGAGGGGAAACGGCAUUAAGUGCUUGCACUUUUUGGACGUCGACCGGCGCACGGGUGAGUAACGCGUAUCCAACCUUCCCAUGACUAAGGGAUAACCUGCCGAAAGGCAGACUAAUACCUUAUGGUCUUCACUGACGGCAUCAGAUGUGAAGUAAAGAUUUAUCGGUUAUGGAUGGGGAUGCGUCUGAUUAGCUUGUUGGCGGGGUAACGGCCCACCAAGGCAACGAUCAGUAGGGGUUCUGAGAGGAAGGUCCCCCACAUUGGAACUGAGACACGGUCCAAACUCCUACGGGAGGCAGCAGUGAGGAAUAUUGGUCAAUGGGCGAGAGCCUGAACCAGCCAAGUAGCGUGCAGGAUGACGGCCCUAUGGGUUGUAAACUGCUUUUGUAUGGGGAUAAAGUCAGUCACGUGUGAUUGUUUGCUGGUACCAUACGAAUAAGGACCGGCUAAUUCCGUGCCAGCAGCCGCGGUAAUACGGAAGGUCCGGGCGUUAUCCGGAUUUAUUGGGUUUAAAGGGAGCGUAGGCUGGAGAUUAAGUGUGUUGUGAAAUGUAGACGCUCAACGUCUGACUUGCAGCGCAUACUGGUUUCCUUGAGUACGCACAACGUUGGCGGAAUUCGUCGUGUAGCGGUGAAAUGCUUAGAUAUGACGAAGAACUCCGAUUGCGAAGGCAGCUGACGGGAGCGCAACUGACGCUGAAGCUCGAAGGUGCGGGUAUCGAACAGGAUUAGAUACCCUGGUAGUCCGCACAGUAAACGAUGGAUGCCCGCUGUUGGUACCUGGUAUCAGCGGCUAAGCGAAAGCAUUAAGCAUCCCACCUGGGGAGUACGCCGGCAACGGUGAAACUCAAAGGAAUUGACGGGGGCCCGCACAAGCGGAGGAACAUGUG
rnacentral:rRNA from 1 species